rnacentral:rRNA from 1 species
UGGGGAAUAUUGCACAAUGGAGGGAACUCUGAUGCAGCGACGCCGCGUGAACGAAGAAGGCUUUCGCGUCGUAAAGUUCUCUUAUAUGGGAAGAUAAUGACGGUACCAUAAGAAGAAGCCCCGGCUAACUACGUGCCAGCAGCCGCGGUAAUACGUAGGGGGCUAGCGUUGUCCGGAAUCACUGGGCGUAAAGGGUUCGCAGGCGGAAAUGCAAGUCAGGUGUAAAAGGCAGUAGCUUAACUACUGUAAGCAUUUGAAACUGCAUAUCUUGAGAAGAGUAGAGGUAAGUGGAAUUUUUAGUGUAGCGGUGAAAUGCGUAGAUAUUAAAAAGAAUACCGGUGGCGAAGGCGACUUACUGGGCUCAUUCUGACGCUGAGGAACGAAAGCGUGGGUAGCAAACAGG